UUAUUGUAAAUCCAGCUACUAGCGAUUCAUCAAUCACCGUUUUAAUCCUCACGUUUUUCGAACCUGUCAAUCGCUGUACACCUUUCGCGAUCUGAGCCAAAUGCUGCGAUUCCAAUUUCACAACAGAAGUGACCACAGCAAGUUCCGUGUCCGUAAGCGUAUUGUACACUUUCUCGAACUCCUUUACAAUUUCUUUGAUUAGCUCCACGCGCUUCAUGUCUACUAAAAUGUUCAGGAAAUUCGCCACGUGCGGCUGGAUGCUCGACGAUGAAACGAUCUCGUCCACGAGUUCGCGUUUCUUCUCUUCGCCGACAAUAGGGCUCACGAAGAAGUUGAACACUGCUUCGUCGUCGAAGAUUUUUUCGAUUUUUUCGAGGUCGGCGGUGGUUUGUUCUAGGGUUCCGUUCGACUUGGCUAUGUCGGCGAGUGCGUUCGCGUAACUUCCGGCAGCGGAAGCCACCAUUUUUGCUCCGGCAGCACCACCGCCUCGGCGGGAGGUGCGAUUAGAGCGGAGCUUGAUGGUUAGUUUCGGGAGCUUGAGGCCGCCGGAAAAGGAGAGCUUUGCCGUCGGUCCGCUGAUGAUUUGAGUCGGCGGCGGUGACCUGGACUGGAAAGUUAUCGGAGUUUGUUGUAGUGCCGCCAUUAAUCUCGUUUAUGCGCUAGAAGAGAGAGAGAGAGGAGAGUACUGAAUUUGAGAGUGAGAAAAUGAGAAAAGGGAUUAUGGAGGGGAAUGGACGGUGGAGAUUAUGGGGGAAGUAGAAUCUACGGUGAUGAAGGGAUAAGAUUAUCAUAUAUUACCGGUGAAGGAUGGCCUCUUAUCUGAUGGUCUAUGGGGAUAAGGAGUUGAAACGUGUACUUCACAUUUGAUAGCAUUGCUUUCUUUUUGAGCUAAAUGGAAGGACUAAUUUGUGAAAUUUUAGAGU
rnacentral:lncRNA from 1 species